rnacentral:lncRNA from 1 species
CUUGCAAUGAACCAAAUAUAAUGCUCAAAGAAUCUCAUAAUAUCAAGAAUCCUAUAACAGCAACCAUGUUAGGAGCCAUGCUUGCAUUGUCACUAAAGGGCUGAGAAUGGGCUGGGACAGCCCAACACUGGACUAAGCCUACUAAAAUUGUAGGCCCGAGAAGCCGACUUCCAAUCAUGAGUGCUUCCACACAGAUGUUGCAUCAAACAUAGAUGAGUUGCAAAGAAUGGGAUGAGAUCACGCACUUAUUCUGCGGAAUUUCUUAUCUCUGAUCUCCUUAUGUAUUGCUUAAGAUCAUUAGGUGUUGGGUGAAGCACAAGGAUUAAUUAGAAACAUCUGAUGACAUGGAUUAUUGCGAAAUGGAUAUGAACUGGGCUAAGUUGAAGGAAUGUUAUGGGUCGGGGGGUGAUGCCAUGGCAUGUUGAGAAUAUGUCGACGGAAUCUUGGGAAAGAACUUUUUCUGUUUGUAUGUUAAGCUGUUGCUCAUUAUGUUGCGUUGCUACGAUGACAGGAUCCGGCUUUAGGAUUGCUGAUAUGCAGUUAUCUUCAAAAUAACCGUGGAGAGCCCUUCAUGUUUCACACGUUUCAUCUCAUCUUUCAUUAGGUCCAAAGGAGACAACCUCCAC